AAGCUGGAUUCGCUAGUAAUCGCGCAUCAGCCACGGCGCGGUGAAUACGUUCCCGGGCCUUGUACACACCGCCCGUCAAGCCAUGGGAGCCGGGGGUACCUGAAGUGCGUAACCGCGAGGAGCGCCCUAGGGUAAAACUGGUGACUGGGGCUAAGUCGUAACAAGGUAUC
rnacentral:rRNA from 1 species